UAGGAGAGGAGAUAAAACUGAGAGAGAGAGAGAGAGAGUGCUGAGUGGGCACUGCCGCCGCCGCAGGCCGCCGGCUGGGGUGCUGGGCCGCGGCCGUUCCGCUCUUUCUCUCCGAGCGCCGCACCUCUCCAGGGAGACGAAGGCGUGGUGCGCGCCUGCGGCGAGCCGGAGCUCUAGAGUUCUACGCCGACCAGCCGGACUGCCCGCCCUAGCGGAGCCCCUUCUCGUGGCAGAGGCCGGAGAAGUUCAGGCGGCCGCAGGGCCACCAGCUGCGGCUGCAGCACCGAGCCUUACAUCACGUCUUUCCAUGACCUCCAACCUUCUUCUAACACUUUCGAAAACCCUUACCGUAAGACAACCUUUUACCUCUUUAACUGUCUCGAGUUAACCCAGUCCAACAAAAGUGACUGGGUCUUUUUGCGUUCGAAGAUUUGGCAGAAGACCGGGGUGUGUAAAGUACGCCAUAUAAGACCCUCUAUGAUUUUGAGACCCACUUCCCUACGGACCAAUAACAGCAGCUGUAGGGCGAGGACAAACUCUGUUUCUACCUGGCUACCUGCCUGGGGCACCAACAGCAUACCCACCUAGGGUUUUGUGUCUAGCUCUCCGAGUACAGUUCUCUGUCAACGCCGGUCCUUGUCCGAGUCCCGUCCUAGCUGCGGGUCGAACGCAACCUGACCUUCUUCAGCCUUCGGCUGUAUCACUAGCUGUUGAGGCCGAGCGACCUGCUGUGCUUUCUCGUCAAGGUCCUUCACGACUUCGUCCACAGACCAGGGAACUGUACCUUCCUCGCGUACUACAGGUCCCUACCGGAAGAGAGAUAGCAGCACACGUGCCGCCGCCCCCAAGAUGAACGAGUCUUCUUAGACGACACUAGAAAAGUGCGAAUCCUUCAAUUCCAAACUGCUUUAAGGAAACUUUUAACUUAGUAAGUCAGGGUUUAUGAGGUCCAUCGUCGUUAUUGAUAGUGAUACAUUCUCCGAUAAGGGUCCAGAACAGAUACACAGACCUAAAACAAACGGAACCUCGGGACGUUGACCC
rnacentral:rRNA from 1 species